rnacentral:rRNA from 1 species
AUUGAACGCUGGCGGCAGGCCUAACACAUGCAAGUCGAGCGGAGCGGCGGACGGGUGAGUAAUGCCUAGGUAUCUGCCUGGUAGUGGGGGAUAACGUCCGGAAACGGGCGCUAAUACCGCAUACUAUCAGAUGAGCCUAGGUCGGAUUAGCUAGUUGGUGGGGUAAAGGGCUCCCAAGGCGACGAUCCGUACCUGGUCUGAGAGGAGGAUCAGUCCCACUGGAACUGAGAUACGGUCCAGACGCCUACGGGAGGGAGCAGUGGGGAAUAUUGGACAAUGGGCGAAAGCCUGAGCCAGCCAUGCCUCGUGUGUGAAGAAGGGCUGCGGGUUGUAAAGCACUGGAAGUUGGGAGGCGUUACCAACAGAAUAAGCACCGGCUAACUGCGUGCCAGCAGCCGCGGUAAUAC